rnacentral:rRNA from 1 species
ACGGAGGGUGCAAGCGUUAAUCGGAAUUACUGGGCGUAAAGCGCACGUAGGCGGUUUGAUAAGUCAGAUGUGAAAUCCCCGGGCUCAACCUGGGAACUGCAGCUGAUACCCGCAAGCUUGAGUCUCGUAGAGGGGAAUAGAAUUCCAGGUGUAGCGGUGAAAUGCGUAGAUAUCAGGAGGAGUAGCGUUGGCGAAGGCGGCCCUCUGGAUGAAGACUGACGCUCAGGUGCGAGAGCGUGGGGAGCAAACAG